rnacentral:rRNA from 1 species
CAGUCGCCGCGGGAAUACGAGGGGAGCUAGCGUUGUUCGGAAUUACUGGGCGUAAAGCGCGCGUAGGCGGCUUUUUAAGUCAGAGGUGAAAGCCCGGGGCUCAACCCCGGAAUUGCCUUUGAAACUGGAAAGCUAGAAUCUUGGAGAGGUCAGUGGAAUUCCGAGUGUAGAGGUGAAAUUCGUAGAUAUUCGGAAGAACACCAGUGGCGAAGGCGACUGACUGGACAAGUAUUGACGCCGAGGUGCGAAAGCGUGGGGAGCAAACAGGAUUAGAUACCCCGGUAGUCCCUGUCUCUUAUAC